rnacentral:rRNA from 1 species
AGUGAUGAUAGCCUAGGAGAUACACCUGUUCCCAUGCCGAACACAGAAGUUAAGCCCUAGCACGCCUGAUGUAGUUGGGGGUUGCCCCCUGUUAGAUAUGGUAGUCGCU